AUACUGGUGGUUCAGUGGUAGAAUUCUUGCCUUCCACGCAGGAGACCCAGGUUCUAUUCCUGGCCAAUGAA
rnacentral:tRNA from 1 species